rnacentral:rRNA from 1 species
UACGAAGGGGGCUAGCGUUGUUCGGAAUCACUGGGCGUAAGGCGUACGUAGGCGGAUCUUUAAGUCAGGGGUGAAAUCCCGAGGCUCAACCUCGGAACUGCCUUUGAUACUGGGGAUCUCGAGUCCGGGAGAGGUGAGUGGAACUGCGAGUGUAGAGGUGAAAUUCGUAGAUAUUCGCAAGAACACCAGUGGCGAAGGCGGCUCACUGGCCCGGUACUGACGCUGAGGUGCGAAAGCGUGGGGAGCAAACAGG